CGCCGCGUGAGGGACGACGGCCUUCGGGUUGUAAACCUCUUUUAGCAGGGAAGAAGCGAAAGUGACGGUACCUGCAGAAAAAGCACCGGCUAACUACGUGCCAGCAGCCGCGGUAAUACGUAGGGUGCAAGCGUUAUCCGGAAUUAUUGGGCGUAAAGAGCUCGUAGGCGGUUUGUCACGUCUGCUGUGAAAACUGGAGGCUCAACCUCCAGCCUGCAGUGGGUACGGGCAGACUAGAGUGCGGUAGGGGAGAUUGGAAUUCCUGGUGUAGCGGUGGAAUGCGCAGAUAUCAGGAGGAACACCGAUGGCGAAGGCAGAUCUCUGGGCCGUAACUGACGCUGAGGAGCGAAAGGGUGGGGAGCAAACAGGCUUAGAUACCCUGGUAGUCCACCCCGUAAACGUUGGGAACUAGUUGUGGGGUCCAUUCCACGGAUUCCGUGACGCAGCUAACGCAUUAAGUUCCCCG
rnacentral:rRNA from 1 species